CACUGCGCGGCGAAAUCCCUCGCGUUUCCCCCUGUGGCUGAGGGCGCGGCGGCCUCUGCGCGACCCUCAUCUGCAUAAACCACGCCCCCACAAGCGCCCAACGGUGACAUCACGUCCCUACCUCUCGCCGCCCGCUCGGGGGGCCUGUCGAACUUUCUCGUUUGCGCGGUGCUGGAGCGUUGAAGGACCAGAGACGAAUCAUCUUGCAUCCUCUCUUACCGCUAACUGGUUGCCCACCUCUAGGUCCCAGCAUCCUUGUGACUGAUCGAUCGUGUUGGGUAUGGACGGACCGUCGCCCGUCUUCUCCAAGUCGGAGAAGGUCGUCAGGCAGCACAGCAGCCAGCCCCUCCGCAGAGAAACAUCGCGAAACUGACACUGAGUUGGGACGUGGUCCGUGGGGUCACCCAAGUCUGGGUUCCUGGUCCCCUCUCUGGACCGCCUCAGGCUCCUGCAUGUAUGUGGUGCAGUUGUGGCCAGCAUGGGCCAUUGAGAAUGGGAAGCAGAGGCAAGUGGAUUUCUGGGACUUUGAGGCCAGCCUGGUCUACACAGUGAGUUCCAGGCUGGCCAGGCCUACAAAGUGACAGACCCUGUCUCAAAAAGUUCUAAAAACAAUACGGAACAAAAUGAAACUCUAUUGUUAUGCGAUUUCAUCUGUAAUGUGACUUUGUCCUUACUCCUCACACUAAGAUUCAACAUAACACUGGGACAGUCCGGUGGAGAAAGUCAUUAACAGAGAGGCAAGUGGCUGUGCGUGACGAGUUUGAGGCCAGCCUGGUCUCUAUAGUUAGUUCCAGGCUGGCCAGAAGAAAUACACUCAGUGGGGUUUUAAAACUAAAUAAAAUUUUUGGUUGAUUACAGUA
rnacentral:sRNA from 1 species